rnacentral:rRNA from 1 species
GACGAACGCUGGCGGCGUGCUUAACACAUGCAAGUCGAACGGAGGAUUUAUUUCGGUAAAUCCUUAGUGGCGAACGGGUGAGUAACGCGUGGGCAACCUGCCCUUCAGAUGGGGACAACAUCCCGAAAGGGGUGCUAAUACCGAAUACGAUCACGCUGCCGCAUGGCGGUGUGAUGAAAGAUGGCCUCUAUUUAUAAGCUAUCGCUGAAGGAUGGGCCUGCGUCUGAUUAGUUAGUUGGUGGGGUAACGGCCUACCAAGGCGAUGAUCAGUAGCAGGGCGGAGAGGAUGAACGGGCACAUUGGGACUGAGACACGGCCCAAACUCCUACGGGAGGCAGCAGUGGGGAAUAUUCCGCAAUGGACGAAAGUCUGACGGAGCAACGCCGCGUGAGUGAUGAAGGUUUUCGGACUGUAAAACUCUGUUGUUUAGGACGAAAGUGCCUGUUGCAAACAGUUGCAGGUAUUGACGGUACUGAACGAGGAAGCCACGGCUAACUACGUGCCAGCCGCCGCGGUAAGAC